GCUGGCGGCGUGCUUAAUACAUGCAAGUCGAACGGGGUCCAACCGGUGGCAACACCGGGGAAGACCUAGUGGCGAACGGGUGAGUAACACGUGAGCAACCUGCCCCGAAGACCGGGAUAACACCGGGAAACUGGUGCUAAUACUGGAUACCCCCACCGGGCCGCAUGACCUGGUGAGGAAACGAAUUUCGCUUCGGGAGGGGCUCGCGGGCUAUCAGCUUGUUGGUGGGGUAACGGCCUACCAAGGCAGCGACGGCUAGCUGGUCUGAGAGGACGACCAGCCACACUGGGACUGAGACACGGCCCAGACUCCUACGGGAGGCAGCAGUAGGGAAUCUUGCGCAAUGGGCGAAAGCCUGACGCAGCAACGCCGCGUGGGGGAUGAAGGCUCUCGGGUUGUAAACCCCUUUCAGCAGGGACGAAAUUGACGGUACCUGCAGAAGAAGCCCCGGCCAACUACGUGCCA
rnacentral:rRNA from 1 species